ncrna:Marinobacter sp. ELB17 HNH endonuclease-associated RNA and ORF (HEARO) RNA
GUCAACUACCCCGCCCUAAAGGACGGGGCUUGUUAGAGAACACCCUGCAAGCCAGGUUGACCAGGGAAAGCGGACACCAACCCGCUAUGUUUAUCACAGGUCGAUAAGACUCACCGCCGAAUGCUUCCUCAGUUCGGCGCUCUGGAAGACUGGGAUCGCGCUGGCGAAAGGCAAAGCGCCGAAGGUUCCGGUCGCCGCGCAAGCGGGAGCCGGUGAUAGACAUUCCCGAGGGGAGA